rnacentral:misc_RNA from 1 species
UAAGCUGGUCGCUUAAAAUGAAGCGUGGUUGUACUUGGCAUUGCUUUGUACUGGCGUAUUAGUUCUCGCUAGAGAUUCCUUACGCACAAACAGUACGGCGUCGCUUGCAACUGCGUCCAAACAACAAGAGUGCGGUGGCAGUCGACACCGCAUUUCAACCUAUUGAUCUCAAAUCAGGCAAGACUACCCGCUGAAUUUAA